CAAACAUCCGGAAGUUCAAAGAGAAGAUGGUGUCAAAAAACCUUGUAUCGGAUGAUAAGCAAUCAGACAAUCAGAUGGAGGAAUUGUGUGCUAACAUCAAGGGUUUGGGUGUCCAUCAGAUUCUUGCGAGGACAGCAACAGCGGCCAGCGUUUGUAUUUGCAGAGUUCAUGAAUGCCGCAGGU